GUGGGGAAUCUUGCGCAAUGGGCGAAAGCCUGACGCAGCCAUGCCGCGUGGAUGAUGAAGGUCUUAGGAUUGUAAAAUCCUUUCACCGGUGCAGAUAAUGACUGUAGCCGGAGAAGAAGCCCCGGCUAACUUCGUGCCAGCAGCCGCGGUAAUACGAAGGGGGCUAGCGUUGCUCGGAAUUACUGGGCGUAAAGGGAGCGUAGGCGGACAUUUAAGUCAGGGGUGAAAUCCCGAGGCUCAACCUCGGAACUGCCUUUGAUACUGGGUGUCUUGAGUGUGAGAGAGGUGAGUGGAACUCCGAGUGUAGAGGUGAAAUUCGUAGAUAUUCGGAAGAACACCAGUGGCGAAGGCGACUCACUGGCUCAUUACUGACGCUGAGGCUCGAAAGCGUGGGGAGCAAACAGGAUUAGAUACCCUUGUAGUCC
rnacentral:rRNA from 1 species